AUUGAACGCUGGCGGCAGGCCUAACACAUGCAAGUCGAACGAGUGGCGGACGGGGGAGUCAUGUCUGGGAAACUGCCUGAAGGAGGGGGCAGACGACUGGAAACGGUAGCUCAUAACGCAUCCAAUCGGAGGAGACCAGAUGUGAUUAGCUAGUAGGUGGGGUAAAGGCUAACCUAGGCGACGAUCCCUAGCUGGUCUGAGAGGAUGACCAGCCACACUGGAACUGAGACACGGUCCAGACUCCUACGGGAGGCAGCAGUGGGGAAUAUUGCACAAUGGUCGCAAGCCUGAUGCAGCCAUGCCGCGUGUAUGAAGAAGGCCUUCGGGUUGUAAAGUACUUUCAGCGGGGAGGCGUUACCCGCAGAAGAAGCACCGGCUAACUCCGUGCCAGCAGCCGCGGUAAUAC
rnacentral:rRNA from 1 species